ensembl:lncRNA
AUGGUGCCCCUGCUUGCCCUGAGAGGUUGCAGCAUUUGCUCUGUCUUCAUUCCACCUGGCCAAUCCAUCCAACAGAGUGUGCCCUCCCUUUGUCAGUGUUCCUGUCUGCACGUAGAGCUGUACACCAGAGGGAUCCUGAAUGCAGGCUACAUGCUUCCUCUGAGAUUUCCAUAUCUCGGCCAUUCGAGCAGAAUUGAUGAGAGGCACACCCAAAGUGUCACGCCCCCUCUCCCCUUCAAAGGAAUCGAUCAGCUGGGAGAUGAGAUCUACAGUCUCCCUUGUGCCACGUGUUGUUCUUUUACAGUGUAGGGCCAGUUCACUCUUACUAAGGCGACGCAAAACAUCAGCAUCUGAAGGUUGCAUCAGCUGAGCCUCCAACUCUGCACGCUUUGCCCUUAUAAGCCUGUCCACGUCCUCCUGAUCCCAGGAGAAAAUACACCGGCUGAGGUGGGCCAUGAAUGUAGAAUAGAGCUGAUGAGAAUCUGUUGUGCAUCCUACAGAAAUCCUUCGCAUGAAAUGCCAGAUGUCCAGUCUGAUUUCCAUGUCCUUCCAUUCCUCAAAUAUUUUUUUUAGGUAAGUACCCCCACAGCAGUCUCUGUCGACAUACAGCAGUUCAGGUGGAGGUACUGAAGCAUCCUUGUACCUUUUAAUGAUGCCACCAACCAUGGACGCCAAUCCAAAGCCUUCACUUGCUGUAAGAACUGUCAUGAUGACCUGACCAUGUUCAUUUCCAACAUUUGUAACCCAGGUGGCUGUUCCAGCACUGUGACCCGCAAGCUUGCGUGCAACCUUCUUGGUGGAAUCCAUUUUCAGCACUCGUCCAAACCGUGAGGUUAUACUUGCUUUGAUCUCAUCCAGUCUUUGAAGGACAUCCUGAGCAUACACCUGCAUCAGCCACCGAUGCUUGGGUACAGGGAGCAUUGCAGGUGGUUUUUCAAAAGACAUGGGCAUCACAAGACCUGCAGUGACCGCUUUGCGAAAACUCUGGCAGUCUGUCAGAUACUGCACGACCUUCAGCAUCCAGUUCUCAGAAUGCUGCUCCUCUAGCUGCUUCUGCAUUUGGCUGCUGCUGUUUCCCAGGCCUCUCUGACGUUGAAGACGGACCACUGCCAUGUCACAUGCCAGUUUUGAGGUAAGAAUGCAGGGAAAUUGAAGCCUAUGACUAAUGUCAAGCUGUGAUACAAUGUCAAAGCUCCAGCUGAUCACCUUCCUUUUGCAUUUCCUGCAUGACAGAUACUCAGACGCCAUGAAGUAAGAUGUUUUAACAUCAACUACCUGUCUGAUUUUCUGAUGCAGUCCUGCCGAUGUGAGUUCCUCCUUUACACAGUCUGGAUGUGGACAGGUUAACUUGACUCUCCAUAGCUUUCUUGGCAUCCAGAGAAAGAAGGGGUGGCCAAAGUAGCGCUCUGUCCCUGGUACUCCUGCAACUGCAAAAGGGGGCUGUGGAGGGUACCACCACAUCCUGUCCACUCUGGUGAAGUCCAUUUCUGGUUGGUUGUGGGAUGAAUACUUAAACAAAACCUUUGAUAUCCAGAGCUGAUCAGCAGGUGGCAAUGUGUGAGUCCAGCCCACAGGAAGGCAAAUUUGUUUUCCUUUGCAAAAUGAACAGAAAAAACAUGUCAUACAUAACCUUACAAAAUAAACCAAAAAAAAUGCUUUUAGAUGUUCA